UAGGAGCUAAGUUGUUGACGGUUUGCAGUAAAAGCUCGGCAUUCUUAUAAUUUCCGGGAGGAACCGUCAAAAUUUCUUGGUGCACAACGUAAUUGACGCUAUCAAUAAAGUCUUCUUCUUUUUUAACCCGAAAUUCGCGGACAAUAUCCAGUUGAAUUUUUUGCUCGGUAGGUAGAGUAUAGAAAGAAUUUAAAUACUGCAGUUCCACCAGGGCCAUUUCCCAUUUGCCCUUCAAGGUAAUGGGAUGCUUCAGUUUGGUAGUCCAGUUGGAGGGCGUGUUGGCCGCUUCUGUGGCGACAUCACUGGGUAAGGUUAUGUAGAAAGGCGCUCCUUCAAAUAUGAUAGUGGUUCCCAAGAAUCGUGUUCGGGUCCGUAACCUAACCAACGGACUAAUGCUUUCUUUCCGCGCCGCUUAACAAUAAAAUCAAUUGCGUGUUCCUUAUGCUGUGGAUUCGAGACUGGUGACAGUUCAUGCUCAUAAAACGUUCCUUUAAUAACUUCAUCUUGGUAAUCCUUCAAACGAUAGACCGGAAUACGAUGCGGGAUCACCUGAUGGAUGUAGAAGAUUUCUUCUUUGAAACGGUAAGUAUACCCUUUUUCCACCUUUGUUUUAUGCACCGCAAUCCGCACGGCAUCACCGACUUUGUACCGUGGCUUCUUGACGUCUUUGUGCUUGUACAAAGCAUUGUACACUGCCAACGAAUUGUCUUGCCGUACAUCACUGGGUCGCAUACCAUGCGCACGGUGUUUGGAAUGGUUGUACGAGUACACCAGGUCUUGCAUUUUGUCAAUAUAGCGCGUCGAUAAGCGGGACCGAAACAAUCGAAAUAUCCGCGUUUUGAUGGUUCGAAUAACGCGCUCCGCCAUGGAACACUUGAUGUCUUCGUUCUCGGAAGUGAAGAACUGAAUUUGUUUGUCUUUCAAGUACUUGGCCACCGUUCUAUUCAACAUCUCAGUCCCUUUAUCAUAUUGCAGUUUUUCCGGCUCUCCCAAAUCAUUGAACGCAUUGGUUAGCGCUUCCUUGGUAUCAGCACCCGUUUUGGUUUUCAGAGGUUGAAUACUGAGUUUCUUGGAAAAACAAUCAAUAACAAACAGCAAAUAUUUGUAUCCAUCGUUUUCCUUCGAAUACUUGGCUAGAUCGGCCAGAUCCGCUUGAUACUGUUGGCGGAGGUUAGUUGUUAUUAUGCGGUUGCGCGGGAAGCGUUUGCGUGAUUCUUUGUUGACAGUGUAGGCAUCGAUCUCCUGCAAGAUCGCCUGUGCUUUCCGUUUGUCGGCUCUGGUCUUUAAACUUUUUCGGAACCUGUCGACGCCGCCAAGACUUCCGGGAUCGCGAGGGUUCAGAUAUUUUUUCAUCAGUUUCUCCAUUAUUGCAACAACUGGAUACGCAAUUGAUCUUAAAUAUCCGACACAGUCGCAAUACAGUAGGAAGAAAGCUGGACAUUAUGGUAAGGUUAUCCACUGAAUCCUAUGUUGACCACUACCACUUUGAACAGUUCGGGAACGCAGUUUCCGACCGGUAUCUUCGUUGGCACUUUCCGUUUUCCUUUUUCCAAUGGAUAAUGGAAACAAGGGUACACGGCGUUGUUUACGGCUAUUUGGAUGAUCGUCCGCGGUUUUACGCUUUCGUCCUUUUGCUGGCAGUGUUGGUGGAAACAAGGCAACACGACCAUGUUUUAUUGGACCAUCUCGAUCGUCUUCCAGAUACCUUUUUUGCCCUUUGGUUGGCAACGUCGAUGGAAAUAAUUGUGGGCGCGGUUGCUUUGGCACUUGUUCUAUUUCAUCUUCGUCAGUUCUUUUGCGUUUGCGAAACUUUUCCAGCUCUUGUUGUACUCCUAAUGGUGCCGGUUGCAACACGGUUUCAUCGGAGAAUUGCACAGGGUUUUCGUCAGGUAAGACUUUUUGUUUCAAUGCUAAGAAACGCUCCAAAAUGCUUGUUAGCAGGUCGGCUUUCUCAUACUCGUUUAUAUCGGUUCGUCUUAAGGUUUUGGCAACAAGUUCGUCCAAAGAAACAACAGCUCUGGCUUCCGGAGGUUCUUUGUUAACUUGUAUUUUCUCAUGCAGGCGCUCUUCCAUAAUGCGUCUAGGAACAAUAUAGUACUCAUCCAUUUCCAAUCAACGAUGUUAGGACCCCAGCAAUAACCGGGUGAUGAUAAAGGGUGCUAACGAUUUUACGCGUUCCGACAUUUUGGCAGUUGUGACGAAUUUCGAUCCAAAUAAAUCCUCAUGUGCUCGUUGGGAAAGAUAUGGGAGCGAAUACGUAAGUAUUCUGGGCACGUUGGUCGCAAGUCCAAAAUUAAAGUAUUCGCUGCUAUAAUCAUUACGGAAGGAAUAGGAAAAGUCCUACAAAGUGAUUCCUGGAAUCAGACAUUACGUAAUAUGACGCUAUAACUCACAUCCUGCGUUCCGUCUCUUCGACAAAGACCGCAGAUCCCGGAAUACCAUGUGGAGGGUACCCGAUGUCCGCAAUAACGACCAUUCCGUAUUUCGGGAGUUCUUCGACACGAAAAAGGGUGGAUCUACGGUGCUUAAAUACUUGCAAAUAGUGGGAAGCACUGCUGGCCUUUGAUAGCAAUGGCACCCUGGGCGUUUUGGAAUCCAAACUUUACAGAGCCUGGUUUUCACACAUUAAAACGUUUUGUAUCCAGAAACUGGAAUUGUAGUGUUUGCAAUUUCUUUUGUCACAUGU